AAUCAUGGCUCAGAUUGAACGCUGGCGGCAGGCCUAACACAUGCAAGUCGAACGGUAACAGGAAGAAGCUUGCUUCUUUGCUGACGAGUGGCGGACGGGUGAGUAAUGUCUGGGAAACUGCCUGAUGGAGGGGGAUAACUACUGGAAACGGUAGCGUAAUACCGCAUAACGUCGCAAGACCAAAGAGGGGGGACCUUCGGGCCUCUUGCCAUCGGAUGUGCCCAGGAAUGGGAUUAGCUAGUAGGUGGGGUAACGG
rnacentral:rRNA from 1 species